rnacentral:rRNA from 1 species
UACGUAGGGUGCAAGCGUUGUCCGGAAUUAUUGGGCGUAAAGAGCUCGUAGGCGGUUUGUCGCGUCGGCUGUGAAAACCUGAGGCUCAACCUCGGGCCUGCAGUCGAUACGGGCAAACUAGAGUUCGGUAGGGGAGACUGGAAUUCCUGGUGUAGCGGUGGAAUGCGCAGAUAUCAGGAGGAACACCGGUGGCGAAGGCGGCCCACUGGCUCGAUACUGACGCUGAGGUGCGAAAGCGUGGGGAGCAAACAGG